CCUUUUGUUCAGAAUGGGGGCUUCCAGUUCGCUGGAGUCCCCUAUCUGCAUCCAUGUCUUUUGCGUACUUGAGCGUUUCCUCGGCGGGUCCCACCCGCCGAAUGGACAACCACAUAAACCUUUUUGUACUUGCAAUCAGCGUCUGAAUACCAAUAAUUAUUUA
rnacentral:misc_RNA from 1 species